CAAGAGUUUGAUCCUGGCUCAGGAUGAACGCUAGCGGGAGGCCUAACACAUGCAAGCCGAGCGGUAUGGAUAGCUUGCUAUCCAGAGAGCGGCGUACGGGUGCGUAACACGUGUGCAACCUACCUUUAUCUGGGGGAUAGCCUUUCGAAAGGAAGAUUAAUACCCCAUAAUAUAAUGAUUGGCAUCAAUUAUUAUUGAAAACUCCGGUGGAUAGAGAUGGGCACGCGCAAGAUUAGAUAGUUGGUGAGGUAACGGCUCACCAAGUCAAUGAUCUUUAGGGGUCCUGAGAGGGAGAUCCCCCACACUGGUACUGAGACACGGACCAGACUCCUACGGGAGGCAGCAGUGAGGAAUAUUGGACAAUGGGUGAGAGCCUGAUCCAGCCAUCCCGCGUGAAGGAUGACGGUCCUAUGGAUUGUAAACUUCUUUUGUACAGGGAUAAACCUACUCUCGUGAGGGUAGCUGAAGGUACUGUACGAAUAAGCACCGGCUAACUCCGUGCCAGCAGCCGCGGUAAGAUGGUUG
rnacentral:rRNA from 1 species